rnacentral:rRNA from 1 species
AAGGUCUCCGUUGGUGAACCAGCGGAGGGAUCAUUACCGAGUUUACAACUCCCAAACCCAAUGUGAACGUUACCAAACUGUUGCCUCGGCGGGAUCUCUGCCCCGGGUGCGUCGCAGCCCCGGACCAAGGCGCCCGCCGGAGGACCAACCAAAACUCUUAUUGUAUACCCCCUCGCGGGUUUUUUUAUAAUCUGAGCCUUCUCGGCGCCCCUCGUGGGCGUUUCGAAAAUGAAUCAAAACUUUCAACAACGGAUCUCUUGGUUCUGGCAUCGAUGAAGAACGCAGCGAAAUGCGAUAAGUAAUGUGAAUUGCAGAAUUCAGUGAAUCAUCGAAUCUUUGAACGCACAUUGCGCCCGCCAGUAUUCUGGCGGGCAUGCCUGUCCGAGCGUCAUUUCAACCCUCGAACCCCUCCGGGGGGUCGGCGUUGGGGAUCGGCCCUCCCUCUGCGGGGGCCGUCUCCGAAAUACAGUGGCGGUCUCGCCGCAGCCUCUCCUGCGCAGUAGUUUGCACACUCGCACCGGGAGCGCGGCGCGUCCACAGCCGUUAAACACCCAACUUUCUGAAAUGUUGACCUCGGAUCAGGUAGGAAUACCCGCUGAACUUAAGCAA